CCAAUGAGAGGAGCGUAUUUGAAACACCACUUUCGAAAUGUCCUAUUUGACACGAACUCAGCUGAUCGUUACUAAACUAACUGGAUCUCAAGCCUUGUCUACUUUUUCCUACUUGUUACACGAUUGUGGCUAAUAAGAUUUUUAAAAAGAAGGCUUUCUGCAGAGAAAAUGAGCUCUGGAAAAGCACUACAGUCAAUGUCUCCUCACAACAAUCAACCGCCGCCGACACCAAGCUUGGCGAAAAGAAAGAAGAUUCAAGAGAAGUCUGCAAUAAGGAGUCCAACAGACAGUGUGAUGUCCCCAUGUACAAGACAGCUCAUGAAGAAAGCUAUCAAGGACAUACCGUCAUCUCCCAGACCCCGACGGGAAGCGAAAGAGAACACUGCAAAUAAAUGAAUGACCUUUUUAUGUACAGUGUGAUGUCUUUACGGUAUUCCUCUCUCUGCUAAGAUGGUCAGAGCAAUCAAUCAUUGACACUUUCCUGACAUUAUAUACCGUCUUUUUAAGAUGUUCUUACUAACCAAGCUGCUCACACUUUAUUGAUCCAUUAUGCAAUAUGGGGGUGAGGGGGUUAUAUUCUUCAUCAAUAUGGUGUAUAUGGUGGAGGGGGUUAUAUUCUUCAUCAAUAUGGUGUAUAUGGUGGAGGGGGUUACAUUCUUCAUCAAUAUGGUGUUUAUGUGGGGGGGGGGGGGGGGUGUAUAUUCUUAAUCUAAAUCGCACUGUUCGGGUUUAUUGUUAUUCUUGUGAAUGUAUAAUGCUAUUUGCACUUUAGAGGACAUAUGCUGUUCAUUGUACACUGCUUUAAGUGGGGGGGUGGGGUUAUCUCAAACAAGUGUUCUGUAUGUGUGCCCUUUGCACAGGUAGAUUUCCAUGGUUUAAGAAAAUAAAACAAAAAGUAGACUACUUUAUAUUCUGUUUGUACAUUGGCUUUAUGUUGCUCAGUUUUAAAUAUGUAACUAGCAAAAAAAGGACUUAGCUCACUGCUUUCAAUAAACAUAUUUGAUAUGGAAGAGA